rnacentral:lncRNA from 1 species
AGGGUGUUCACAUCACAUCAGAACAAACAGCAGGAACAGUCUCUCAUGUUUCUGUUCUGUCAUGUUUCUGUGUCACAGAGAUGUCAGAUACUUCAGAGAAAAAGUGGAAAGCAACUCUGACUAAAAUCCUGGAGGAGCUGAAACCAAAACAAUACAAAGAAACAAUGGAACAUUUGGACAAAAUCCCCGGAAGCCAGAAGGGAAGCGGAUCUAAAGCAACGAUGGCCCAAAGAAUCAUUGAGUGCUACGGACAUGACGAAUCAAUUUCUGCAAUACAUGAUAUCAUGAUGGAAGAGAUACCGAGGAAGGAUCCGAGGAUGCAGGAACUGUUGGGCCCCUUUGUCGAAGAACUGAGGAGCAAAAAUGAAAAAGGGGGAAAUGGAAAGAAGAGAAAGUGUGAUCCAGUGGAGAAGGAAGACAAUCCUCCAGCAGGUAGGUUACCAGACAACACAUCACUCAGAGAAGUGUUUCACUGCUGGCUCGUGCAUGAAACUGGUUCGUCUCUGCAGCAGAAAGACACUAAUAUGUUUGAAAGUAGUGUGAUGAACAGAGAUAAAAGGCUGUGGUAUCCCUUCUGCUCCAAAGACAGAAAACCUACAACAACCAGAAUGCACUGCACCAGACCAAAAUAAAUAAUAUAUUUCCACUGAUGGAUGGUGCUGCUUCGUUUUGCUCCGUAGUUGACUGGCUGCUAACAAACACCAUUGAAGCUAAAACUCACUGAACAGGAUUCAGAAUCAGAAUCAGAAAUCCUUUAAUGUCCCGCAGACGGGGAAAUUUGUUUGUCGCAGCAGUGGAAUAUUAUUGUG